AAGGAUCAUUAGAGAAUACAUUACACACUGGGUACGAUACCACAGCAACAAAAUUUUAUCAGUCGAAACUUACAAAAUCAAAACUUUCAACAACGGAUCUCUUGGUUCUCGCAUCGAUGAAGAACGCAGCGAAAUGCGAUACGUAGUAUGACUUGCAGACGUGAAUCAUCGAAUCUUUGAACGCACAUUGCGCCUCGAGGCAUUCCUCGAGGCAUGCCUGUUUGAGCGUCGGCCCCCCUCUAACCCUCGGGUUAGGCGUUGCCCCACGAAAUACCAAGCGCAUUCAAUCUCAUGUUUUUGAACACGCCCCCCCCUAUUUCGCCCUCAAAUCAGGUAGGACUACCCGCUGAACUUAAGCAUAUCAAUAAGCGGAGGAAAAGAAACCAACCGGGAUUGCCUCAGUAACGGCGAGUGAAGCGGCAAAAGCUCAAAUUUGAAAUCCUGCGGGAGUUGUAAUUUGAAGGUUUCGGGUUCAGAGGCUGUGCGCGCCCAAGUCCAUUGGAACAUGGCGCCUGGGAGGGUGAGAGCCCCGUCCGGCGCGGCGCAGCCCUCGUUGCGGCCCGAUUCCGACGAGUCGAGUUGUUUGGGAAUGCAGCUCAAAGUGGGUGGUAAAUUCCAUCUAAAGCUAAAUAUUGGCGAGAGACCGAUAGCGAACAAGUACAGUGAUGGAAAGAUGAAAAGCACUUUGAAAAGAGAGUGAAACAGUACGUGAAAUUGUUGAAAGGGAAGGGCUUGCAAGCAGACACGGUUUCGGCCGGGCCAGCAUCGGUUUGUCGGGGCGGACAAUGCGGCGGGAAUGUGGCACGCGCCCUUGUGGCGCGUGUGUUUAUAGCCCGGCGAGAUACGCCCACGGCAGACCGAGGCCUGCGAUCCUUGAUCUAGGAUGCUGGCGUAAUGGUUGCAAGCCGCCCGUCUUGAAACACG
rnacentral:rRNA from 1 species